GGGAGAGUCUCAGAUAUGUAAUAAUUUCAAUGUUGGGUCUUGUAAUUAUAGCGGUUGCAGAUUAUUGCAUAUCUGUUUAAAAUGUUUUAGGACACAUGCAAAAACCAUGUGUCCAAAUAAAAUGUAUUCUAAGCCUUACCUCACGUCCAUUAAUAUGCCGGUGUUUACUGCAUUUAUGUCACAUCACCCGUCUAAACACUUGGUGGAC